UAGCCUAGUGGUUAAGGCUAUGGAUCGCCAAUCCGGAGACAGCGGGUUCGAUUCCUGU
rfam:Aedes albopictus isolate Foshan contig36796, whole genome shotgun sequence.